rnacentral:rRNA from 1 species
UCGCCUACAUGAAGCUGGAAUUGCUAGUAAUCACAGGUCAGCAUACUGUGGUGAAUACGUUCCCGGGCCUUGUACACACCGCCCGUCACACCAUGAGAGUUGAGAAUACCCGAAGUCCAUGUCAAAGUGGCCGAAGGUAGGCUUGAUGAUUGGGGUGAAGUCGUAACAAGGUACC